AUGGAUUUCGGCAAUAUCGCAUUUCGGCAUACAUUUGGUGCCGCUGAGCGGGACCUCUGGGAGGACCACAUCGCGUGCACCGCCCUUCACACCCCGGUACUCGGACCGGACACAACGCAUUGGUGCCUUGAGUCGUCGGGUCGAUUCUCCUCCAAAACACUCUAUCGGGCGAUUCUACCCACCCCGGGGUCGGUAGAGCUCAAUCUCCUUUGGGAGAUCAAGCUGCCCCUAAAGAUAAGGAUCUUCCUAUGGCAACUAGUGCGUGGACGCCUUCCUUCUGGCAUAGAGGUGCUCAAGCGGAAUGGCCCAUCCGAUGGUCUAUGCCCUCUUUGUUCUGUCCCUGAAGACUCGAACCACAUCUUCUUUUCUUGCCCCUCCGCGAGAUUUUUGUGGAGUUGCUUACGCGGGGUCGCCAUACUUAUCUCCCGGAUAUGUCCACGGAAGUACUUACCUUCCCUAGUUCUGCAUGUCCCUCCAUCUGGGUGUUGGUCGGAUCGCUGA
rnacentral:rRNA from 1 species